rnacentral:rRNA from 1 species
AUACGGAGGGAGCGAGCGUUAAUCGGAAUUACUGGGCGUAAAGCGCGCGUAGGCGGCUUUGUAUGUCGGAUGUGAAAGCCCAGGGCUCAACCCUGGAAUUGCAUUCGAUACUGCAUGGCUAGAGUAUGGUAGAGGGAAGUGGAAUUUCCGGUGUAGCGGUGAAAUGCGUAGAUAUCGGAAGGAACACCAGUGGCGAAGGCGACUUCCUGGGCCAAUACUGACGCUGAGGUGCGAAAGCGUGGGGAGCAAACAGGAUUAGAAACCCCAGUAGUCC